rnacentral:rRNA from 1 species
UCAAGCUAAUAAGAGCGCAGGGUGGAUGCCUUGGCACUAAGAGCCGAUGAAAGACGUGAUAAGCUGCGAAAAGCUUCGGGGAGGAGCAAAUAUCCUUUGAUCCGGAGAUAUCUGAAUGGGGAAACCCGGCUGAGAAGACCUCAGUCACUGUAUGGUAAAUACAUAGCCAUACAGAGGGAACCCGGUGAACUGAAACAUCUAAGUAGCCGGAGGAAGAGAAAGAAACAUCGAUUCCGGAAGUAGCGGCGAGCGAACCCGGAAGAGCCCAAACCAGCGUGCGUGCAUGCUGGGGUUAAGGACUGCAUAAGUGAGCCGAUCUGUUAAUGGAACUGCCUGGGAAGGCAGGCCAGAGAGGGUGAAAGCCCCGUACAUGAAAACGGUAGGCAGCGGCAGGAUCCAGAGUACCGCGAGACACGAGAAACCUUGCGGGAAGUCGGAGGGACCACCCUCCAAGGCUAAAUACUCCUUAGUGACCGAUAGCGCAUAGUACUGUGAAGGAAAGGUGAAAAGGACCCCGGGAGGGGAGUGAAAGAGAACCUGAAACCCUGUGUUUACAAGCUGUGGGAGCACGUUAAGGUGCAACCGCGUACUUUUUGUAGAACGGUCCGGCGAGUUGCCGGUGCUGGCAAGGUUAAAUGGUACAGCCAUGGAGCCGAAGGGAAACCAAGUCUCAAAUGGGCGUAAAGUCAGCACAGGCAGACCCGAAACCGGGUGACCUAUCCAUGUCCAGGAUGAAGCGGAAGUAAAAUUCCGUGGAGGUCCGGAUCCACAUCCGUUGAAAAGGGUGGGAAUGAGGUGUGGAUAGGGGAGAAAUUCCAAUCGAACCCGGAGAUAGCUGGUUCUCCUCGAAAUAGCUUUAGGGCUAGCCCCGUAUUAGUUUAGCGGAGGUAGAGCACUGAAUUCCUAAGGGGGCGUCAAAGCUUACCAAGGGAUAUCAAACUCCGAAUGCCGCAUAAAUGAUGUACGGGAGUCAGACUGCACGAGAUAAGUUGGGCAGUCAAAAGGGAAAGAGCCCAGACCUACAGCUAAGGUCCCAAAGUGUGUGUUAAGUGGAAAAGGAUGUGGGAUUUCAGAGACAACUAGGAUGUUGGCUUAGAAGCAGCCACACAUUCAAAGAGUGCGUAAUAGCUCACUAGUCGAGAGGUCCUGCGCCGAAAAUGUCCGGGGCUAAAACACAACACCGAAGCUUAGGAAUGUAGUAAUACAUUGGUAGAGGAGCAUUCUUAAAGGAAUGAAGCAGUACCGGUAAGGAGCUGUGGACUUUUAAGAAGAGAGAAUGCCGGAAUGAGUAGCGAGAUGGAGGUGGGAAUCCUCCAGGCCGAAUAUCCAAGGUUUCCAGAGUAAAGCUGAUCUGCUCUGGGUAAGUCGGGGCCUAAGGUAAGGCUGAGAAGCGUAGCCGAUGGACAACAGGUUGAGAUUCCUGUACCGCGUAUCAUCAGAACUGUGGGGACACAGAAGGACAGCACAUCCCGGGAAUGGAAAGACCGGGGCAAGCAGGGUAGGAGUUAAGCUGGCAAAUCCGCUUAACAAUCCGAAGCUGUGAUGCGGAGCGAAUUUAAGUAGCGAAGUGUGCGAUUCCGGCUGUCAAGAAAAGCCGCUAUUGUGUGAUACGUGCCCGUACCGUAAACCGACACAGGUAGAUGAGGAGAGAAUCCUAAGGCCGGCGGGAGAAGCAUUGUUAAGGAACUCGGCAAAAUGACCCUGUAACUUCGGGAGAAAGGGUGCCUGGGAAACCAGGCCGCAGAGAAUAGGCUCAAGCAACUGUUUAGCAAAAACACAGGUCUAUGCAAAACCGUAAGGUGAGGUAUAUGGGCUGACGCCUGCCCGGUGCUGGAAGGUUAAGAGGAGGGGUUAGCGCAAGCGAAGCUCUGAAUUGAAGCCCCAGUAAACGGCGGCCGUAACUAUAACGGUCCUAAGGUAGCGAAAUUCCUUGUCGGGUAAGUUCC